UCCCAGAGUUUCAGUCCACGUCUGUGCUCAACCAGCCGCUCGCACCCUCAUCCAAGUCAACCUACGGCUGCUUCACCUCUAGAGGGGUGUCCACUUUAAUCUGCUCAGAGAGGAGGGAGGACGACCCCCCCCCCCCCCAUCCAUCCACCCCCUCGAAAAAAGAAGGACCUAAACUUGGGGGUAAAGGAAGUGGAUGUUCGUGGGGCUGUAGAUGCGCCGGUGUUGGGGCUUAAACUCUCCAAACGUCCUGAAGGAUCCCUGGCACUUUUAUUCACCCGUCUCCUUCCAGUCGGUUCGACCCUCCUCGCCCGGAGCUGAAAGGUGAUGACAGACGCAGACGUGGUUCCUGCCCUCCUCACAUUCAGUCAUGGACCUUCCCACCACACCUACAGCAGCUCGGGGCCUCUGGGUUUGAGUGCGGCUGAUGGAAGAGAGAGGAAAUGAAGACGAAGAGAGUGAGAGCACGGCCGAGACGCACCACAGACCGUCAGCAUCCUUCCAUCCUGCCGAACCCUCGUCUGAAACGCCGCCGUAAUCCGGCUGAUUAGCGCUGACGGCAGGGAUGUGCCAGAGCCAGGUUUGGGUGGCACAGUGGCACAGCUGGUAGAGUGGGUGCCUCACAGCAGCACAGUAUCCUGAAAUCCUAGGUUUGAUCCUGUACAUGCCUGGCUCCCAAAAGAACGUGCACUAGAUGAACUUCAGACUGUACAGUGUCCUGUCUCCAGACCCACCACGACCCUGGUCAGGAUUCAUCCCUACGUUCUGGUCAUGGACGCAGUGGAUCCAGAGCCACGUCCAGGCAACGGCUUUGUCAGCUGCAUCAGGGCGGGGCCUCCCUCUCUCCGGGUCACAGAUGUUCGUGGGAACUGAAAGGUGAGCGCGCCCACGGGCGCCGGCGGCGUGCCACGACGAAACACAGCGCGGGCCGGAGCGACGAGGAUCAGAGAAAAUCCUUUUAUCGGGGAAUAAAAUCCACACAGAGAGACGCGGGAUCACUCUGAAGAAUCACAUGAGUCUGCGCAACUUCUUCAUAAGCAGGAAACCCACGCAGACACUUGGAGAACAUGCAAAACUCCACACAGAAAAGAACCCAGGAUCUUUUUGCUGUGAGGCGACGGUGCUACCCACCAAGCCACUCAUUUACUCAGUGUAAGAAGAAAUUAAGCGUUAGAGAAGCACAAAUGAUCAAAACCUGACCAAUACCCAGCAUGAGUGACAUAUAAAUAAGUGUAAUUGCCUCAUAGUGUCUGUUGUUAUUUGCUUUUUCUGAGUAAAUCUUACACAAUGAUGCAUUAAAAAUCACAAAGGAAAAUAUUGUACAACAGCAGUGAAAGGUCAAUUAAUAGGCUUACACCGGCUGAACAUGGGUGGCAAUUGGCACAGGAAUGUAAUUGUGUAAUGAAAAUAAGUGUCUGUUUUGUAAUGAUGCCUUAUGAUAAGAGUCUAAAUAAAGCACAUAAUUUGUGUAUUACAGUAACUACUAAUGGUGCAAAU